rnacentral:rRNA from 1 species
AUUGAACGCUCGCGGCCGGCCUAACACAUGCACGUCGAGCGGGUCACGGGAGCUUGCUCCUUGCUUCAGUGGCGGACGGGCGGGUAACGCCUCGGAAUCUGCCUGGUCGGGGGGUACAACGUUCCGAAAGGAACGCUAAUACUGCAUACGUCCUCCGCGAGAAAGCAGGGGACCUUUGGGCCUUGCGCGCGCAGUUCAGCCUCGGUCGGAGUAGCGAGUUGGGGGGGUAAUGGCUCACCAAGGCGACGACCCGUAACUGGUCUGAGAGGAUGAUCAGUCACACUGGAACUGAGACACGGUCCAGACUCCUACGGGAGGCAGCAGUGGGGAAUAUUGGACAAUGGGCGAAAGCCUGAUCCAGCCAUGCCGCGUGUGUGAAGAAGGUCUUCGGAUUGUAAAGCACUUUAAGUUGGGAGGAAGGGCAGUAAGUUAAUACCUUGCUGUUUUGACGUUACCGACAGAAUAAGCACCGGCUAACUCUGUGCCAGCCGCCGCAGUAA